rnacentral:rRNA from 1 species
AUUGAACGCUGGCGGAAUGCUUUACACAUGCAAGUCGAGCGGCAGCGCGGGGCAACCUGGCGGCGAGCGGCGAACGGGUGAGUAAUACAUCGGAACGUGCCCAGACGUGGGGGAUAACUACUCGAAAGAGUGGCUAAUACCGCAUACGAUCUAAGGAUGAAAGCGGGGGAUCGCAAGACCUCGCGCGUUUGGAGCGGCCGAUGGCAGAUUAGGUAGUUGGUGGGGUAAAGGCUUACCAAGCCCGCGAUCUGUAGCCGGUCUGAGAGGAUGAUCAGCCACACUGGGACUGAGACACGGUCCAGACUCCUACGGGAGGCAGCAGUGGGGAAUUUUGGACAAUGGGCGCAAGCCUGAUCCAGCCAUGCCGCGUGAGUGAAGAAGGCCUUC